UACGGAGGGUGCAAACGUUGCUCGGAAUCAUUGGGCGUAAAGCGCACGUAGGCGGCCUGUUAAGUCGGGUGUGAAAUCCCUCGGCUCAACCGAGGAAGUGCAUUCGAAACUGGCGGGCUUGAAUGUGGAAGAGGGUCGUGGAAUUCCCGGUGUAGAGGUGAAAUUCGUAGAUAUCGGGAGGAACACCAGUGGCGAAGGCGGCGACCUGGGCCGACAUUGACGCUGAGGAGCGAAAGCGUGGGGAGCGAACAGG
rnacentral:rRNA from 1 species